UACGGAGGGGGCUAGCGUUGUUCGGAAUUACUGGGCGUAAAGCGCACGUAGGCGGCUUUGUAAGUUAGAGGUGAAAGCCCGGGGCUCAACUCCGGAAUUGCCUUUAAGACUGCAUCGCUAGAAUUGUGGAGAGGUAAGUGGAAUUCCGAGUGUAGAGGUGAAAUUCGUAGAUAUUCGGAAGAACACCCGUGGCGAAGGCCACUUACUGGACCCAUACUGACGCUGAGAUGCGAAAGCGUGGGGAGCAAACAGG
rnacentral:rRNA from 1 species